UUGAAAGAGAGAUCUUUAAUGUUUGGUUGCGUGCAUAUAGUUGUAACUGCAUUGCAGUCGUGGUUGCAUACAGAUUCAAAUUCGAUAUUUGAUUUGAUGUGUUUGAAUUCAACUGCUACAGUUGCAACUACACGAAAGGUUCUACAGUAGCAGUUGCAACUACAUUGAAAUUAAUCGCAACUCUAACUACGGUAUUUGGAGAGAGUAAUCUUAAAUAAAAGAAAAGAUUGCCUCCCUAAUAACCUUUUAAAUAGAAAAUAUAUAUUUUUUUCUUACAUAAAUAUAAUCUUAACAUCCUAUAUAUAAAAUAGGGUUAAUUGCGUGCAACUCCCUGUAAAAAUAUUGAAUAGCAAAUAUAUUCCUACAAAGUUCAACUAUUCAUAUUAAUCUAUAUAAAAGUUCUAACAUUUUCAAAUAUAUAUUUACUGUUAGGAUCCAUAUAAUUAACCAUAGGUAAAAUACCUAAUCCUGGUUAGUAAAUAAGAUAAAUUGGCUUUUUUAUCUCUCUUAUAUUAUUUGUGAUUGCAGAAAGGAAGAAGAUAAUUGUAGGAGAUUUUUGAGAAGACAUUUCUAUAUAAUUCUAACAGUUGGGACUUAUGGAGGAACAUAUUUUUAUGGCAAAAAUGUUAUUUUAUUUAUCAUCUCUUAAAAAAUAAACAGUGCUCUAUGGUAACAAAUUAGAAGAACAAAUUGAAUUUCAUCAAACCUGUAGAAAUAAAUAUGAAAAGUUGAGCUUUGUAGGGAUAUAUUUAAUAUUCUAUAUGUUUAUGAAAAAUUGUAUGAAAUUAAUUGUAAAACUAUAAAAUAAUAAACUUUUACGAAUAUACUUUUCAAUCAUAUUAUGUAAAAUAAAUUAAUUAUAACUAUAAUAUUUCUAUUACAUCCAUUCCAAUUAAAUGAAUAUAUAAUUAUAACUACCCGAUUUCAAUUACAAUUUCUAUCUAUACCGUGUUUAAUUAAAAUAAUUAUAUUGCCAAAUGCCCCUUGAAUUAGUCAACUCGAUUCUUAGUUAGAACAGAAUGUUUUAAUUUCAACUGUUAGACUAGGGAUAGAAUAUAGAAGGGUGAUGGAUAAAUAACUGCAGUGCACAUACGGCGUGGUGCACCGGGUCUAGCAAGCCGCCUCUCUUCCCUCGGAGGCGUGCACGGAUCUCGAUGCACCAGCACACAGCGUGGCGCCACGUGUGCUCGUCCCAUUAGCCCCAGCCGUCCGCGGCCUCUCCCGCUGCAUGGGAUUACCGAGACGACCCUCGUAGCAGCUGCUUUCCCUUCUUU
rnacentral:lncRNA from 1 species